rnacentral:rRNA from 1 species
GAUGAACGCUAGCGACAGGCUUAACACAUGCAAGUCGAGGGGCAGCGGGGGGAGUGGCAACACUUCUGUCGGCGACCGGCGCACGGGUGAGUAACGCGUAUGCAACCUGCCCUUCACAGGGGGAUAACCGGGAGAAAUUCCGACUAAUACCGCAUACGUCCUCCGGGGGCAUCCCCGGGGGAUGAAAGAAUUAUCGGUGAAGGAUGGGCAUGCGUGAUAUUAGGUAGUUGGCGGGGCAACCGG